rnacentral:rRNA from 1 species
UGGGGAAUAUUGGACAAUGGGCGAAAGCCUGAUCCAGCCAUGCCGCGUGUGUGAAGAAGGUCUUCGGAUUGUAAAGCACGUUAAGUUGGGAGGAAGGGCAGUAAGCGAAUACCUUGCUGUUUUGACGUUACCGACAGAAUAAGCACCGGCUAACUCUGUGCCAGCAGCCGCGGUAAUACAGAGGGUGCGAGCGUUAAUCGGAUUUACUGGGCGUAAAGCGUGCGUAGGCGGCUAAUUGAGUCGGAUGUGAAAUCCCCGAGCUUAACUUGGGAAUUGCAUUCGAUACUGGUUAGCUAGAGUGUGGGAGAGGAUGGUAGAAUUCCAGGUGUAGCGGUGAAAUGCGUAGAGAUCUGGAGGAAUACCGAUGGCGAAGGCAGCCAUCUGGCCUAACACUGACGCUGAGGUACGAAAGCAUGGGGAGCAAACAGG